rnacentral:rRNA from 1 species
GAUGAACGCUGGCGGCGUGCUUAACACAUGCAAGUCGAACGGGAAACCUUUUAUUGAAGCUUCGGCAGAUUUAGCUGGUUUCUAGUGGCGGACGGGUGAGUAACGCGUGGGUAACCUGCCUUAUACAGGGGGAUAACAACCAGAAAUGGUUGCUAAUACCGCAUAAGCGCACAGGACCGCAUGGUCCGGUGUGAAAAACUCCGGUGGUAUAAGAUGGACCCGCGUUGGAUUAGCUAGUUGGCAGGGUAACGGCCUACCAAGGCGACGAUCCAUAGCCGGCCUGAGAGGGUGAACGGCCACAUUGGGACUGAGACACGGCCCAGACUCCUACGGGAGGCAGCAGUGGGGAAUAUUGCACGAUGGGGGAAACCCUGAUGCAGCGGCGCCGCGUGAAGGAAGAAGUAUCUCGGUAUGUAAACUUCUAUCAGCAGGGAAGAUAGUGACGGUACCUGACUAAGAAGCCCCGGCUAACUACGUG